UGUGUGGCGCGAUGCUUCCAAGAAAUAGAUUCUAAUCGUCGAUGGCGACCGUACCAAAACCGACACAGGUGGGUGGGAAGAAGAUUCUCAGGCGCGCGAGAGAACUCUCGUUAAGGAACUCUGCAAAUUAUCCUCGUAACUUCGGGAGAAGAGGAGCCCUCUGUCGUGAUUAGACUUGCUCUAUGAGCGAUGGGGGGCCGCAGAUAAAUGGCCCAGGCGACUGUUUAACAAAAACACAGCACUAUGCAAAGACGUCUAAGUCGAAGUAUAUGGUGUGAUGCCUGCCCAAUGCCAAAAGGUCAAAAGGAGAGGUUAGCCGUUAAAAGCGAAGCUUUGAAUUUAAGCCCUGGUGAAUGGCGGCCGUAACCAUAACGGUCCUAAGGUAGCGAAAUUCCUUGUCGGGUAAGUUCCGACCUGCACGAAUGGUAUAACGAUCUGGGCACUGUCUCAACGAGAGACUCGGUGAACUUGUAGUAGCAGUGAAGAUGCUGUUUACCCGCAAUAAGACGGAAAGACCCCGUGAACCUUUACUGUACUCUGAUAUUGGCUCUUGACUUGCAAUGUGUAGGAUAGCCGGGAGACAUCGAAGCCCCUUCGUCAGGAGGGGUGGAGUCGUCCUUGAAAUACCGGUCUUUGUAAGUCGAGAAUCUAACGCAACCCCAUGAAGCUAGGGUGCGGACAUUGUCAGACGGGCAGUUUUGCUGGGGCGGUAUCCUCCUAAAGAGUAACGGAGGAGUCCAAAGCUUACCUCAUCGUGGUUGGCAAUCACGAGAAGAGCGUAAACGUAUAAGGUAAGUUAACUGUGAGACCUACAAGUCGAACAGAGACGAAAGUCGGGGUUAGUGAUCCGGCGGUGGAAAGUGGAAUCGCCGUCGCUCAACGGAUAAAAGGUACUCCGGGGAUAACAGGCUUAUCGCCACCAAGAGUUCAUAUCGACGUGGCGGUUUGGCACCUCGAUGUCGACUCAUCACAUCCUGGGGCUGGAGAAGGUCCCAAGGGUUUGGCUGUUCGCCAAUUAAAGUGGUACGCGAGUUGGGUUCAAAACGUCGUGAGACAGUUAGGUCCCUAUCUUUUGUGGGCGCAGGAUAUUUGAGAGGAGCUGCUUCUAGUACGAGAGGACCGAAGUGGACGAACCAAUGGUGUUCCGGUUGUUCUGCCAAGGGCAUAGCCGGGUAGCUACGUUCGGAAAGGAUAAGCGUUGAAAGCAUCUAAACGCCAAGCCUCCCUCAAGAUAAGAUAUCCCUAUGAGACCCCAUGAAGACUACAUGGUUGAUAGGUUGGGUGUGUAAGCACAGCAAUGUGUUGAGCUAACCAAUACUAAUUGGUCCACAGGCUUGACCAC
rnacentral:rRNA from 1 species